GAUGAACGCUGGCGGCGUGCUUAACACAUGCAAGUCGAACGAAGCACUUUGAAAGCUUGCUUUUGGAGUGACUGAGUGGCGGACGGGUGAGUAACGCGUGGGUAACCUGCCUUAUACAGGGGGAUAACAGUUGGAAACGACUGCUAAUACCGCAUAAGCGCACAGUGCCGCAUGGCACAGUGUGAAAAACUCCGGUGGUAUAAGAUGGACCCGCGUCUGAUUAGCUAGUUGGUGAGGUAACGGCUCACCAAGGCGACGAUCAGUAGCCGGCUUGAGAGAGUGAUCGGCCACAUUGGGACUGAGACACGGCCCAAACUCCUACGGGAGGCAGCAGUGGGGAAUAUUGCACAAUGGGGGAAACCCUGAUGCAGCAACGCCGCGUGAGUGAAGAAGUAUUUCGGUAUGUAAAGCUCUAUCAGCAGGGAAGAUAAUGACGGUACCUGACUAAGAAGCCCCGGCUAACUACGUGCCAGCCGCCACAGUAAUAC
rnacentral:rRNA from 1 species